GUGGGUAGAUAUAUUAUGUUCACAUGUUAAACAAAAUAUUUUUUCAGACCUUCAGGAGGUGGAAAAUACUGCCUUGGGGAAAGAAAACGCUAUCGCUCCUGUAAUACAGAUGUGGAGUAAAACCUUGUGCAUUAAACUGUUUGGCUGAAGGUUACAAUUUCUACACCGAACGUGCCCCUGCGGUGAUCGAUGGGACUCAGUGCAAUGCAGAUUCACUGGAUAUCUGUAUCAAUGGAGAAUGCAAGGUUGCACACAUUGCAGUACUGUUUUGUUGGGAUUUUCUGAGACCUUUGUCUUUUUCUCAAAUAGUAUUUAAUCUAUGCUUAGCUUUUUAA
rnacentral:lncRNA from 1 species